CACCGGUUACAAAUAAUGCAAGAACUUUGAGGCGGCAAUCACUGACCGGCAUUCCACCUUCAGGGUAUGACAGACGAUCAUCUCUGGGAGAGAAGCCAACCGAAACUAGUGCAAAAGACAACAGAAGUGCCAAAACACCUCCGCCAGACAACAGAAGUUCCAAAACACCUCCGCCAGUCCGUUCAUCAACAAAAAGUAACAAGCGGUGACAACAGAUAAUUUGAUUCAGACACAGUCCAGCAAUUGCCGGAAAAAGGCUUGGUAACGCUUUGGCUCAAAGCAUACUGACUUGUAUGGCAAUCAGAGAAUGCUUCAUAUAUUGUCUGCUAACAUGAUCUACUUGACUUGAGAUCCCAAUUUUGUGUCCUAUGUGUUUCAUAUAUUGUCAAGUGAUGAUCCUCCUUGUAAUUGUAGUACCUAGUUUGGAUCCACAUUGUGAAGUUCUGGUAUUAAAAGUGAUUCGGUUCCA